UACGUAGGGUGCGAGCGUUGUCCGGAAUUAUUGGGCGUAAAGAGCUCGUAGGCGGUGUGUUACGUCGGCCGUGAAAACCUGCAGCUUAACUGUGGGCGUGCGGUCGAUACGGGCAUCACUGGAGUUCGGCAGGGGAGACUGGAAUUCCUGGUGUAGCGGUGAAAUGCGCAGAUAUCAGGAGGAACACCGGUGGCGAAGGCGGGUCUCUGGGCCGAUACUGACGCUGAGGCACGAAAGCGUGGGGAGCAAACAGG
rnacentral:rRNA from 1 species